CGUGUAGGCGGUUUGGUAAGUCUGAUGUGAAAGCCCUGGGCUCAACCCGGGAAGUGCAUUGGAUACUGUCAGACUUGAAUACGGGAGAGGGCAGUGGAAUUCCUAGUGUAGGAGUGAAAUCCGUAGAUAUUAGGAGGAACACCGGUGGCGAAGGCGGCUGCCUGGACCGAUAUUGACGCUGAGACGCGAAAGCGUGGGUAGCAAACA
rnacentral:rRNA from 1 species